rnacentral:rRNA from 1 species
UGCUCCUACGGGAGGCAGCAGUGGGGAAUAUUGCGCAAUGGGCGAAAGCCUGACGCAGCGACGCCGCGUGAGGGAUGAAGGCCUUCGGAUCGUAAACCUCUGUCAGCAGGGAAGAACGGUCACUGUGCUAAUCAGCAGUGAAUUGACGGUACCUGCAAAGGAAGCACCGGCUAACUCCGCGCCAGCAGCCGCGGUAAUACGGAGGGUGCGAGCGUUAAUCGGAAUUACUGGGCGUAAAGCGCUCGUAGGCGGGAUGUCAAGUCAAGGGUGAAAUCGCCGCGCUCAACGGUGG